rnacentral:rRNA from 1 species
NGCCACAGCCAUAUCACCCUGCAGCCCAAGACUGGUUGCCCACUGAAGCUAAGCAGCAUUGAGUCUGGUCAGUACCUGGAUGGGAGACCUCCUGGGAAAACUAGGUUGCUGUUGGAA